UUCGGUGCGCCCGCCUCACGGCCGCCGGGGGGCUUCUGCCCCCGGGUCCGCGCGCACCGGAGACACCAUUGAACUCUGUCUGAAGAUUGCAGUCUGAGCAUAAACUAAAUAAGUUAAAACUUUCAACAACGGAUCUCUUGGUUCCGGCAUCGAUGAAGAACGCAGCGAAAUGCGAUAACUAAUGUGAAUUGCAGAAUUCAGUGAAUCAUCGAGUCUUUGAACGCACAUUGCGCCCCCUGGUAUUCCGGGGGGCAUGCCUGUCCGAGCGUCAUUGCUGCCCUCAAGCACGGCUUGUGUGUUGGGCUCCGUCCCCCCGGGGACGGGUCCGAAAGGCAGCGGCGGCACCGAGUCCGGUCCUCGAGCGUAUGGGGCUUUGUCACCCGCUCUGUAGGCCCGGCCGGCGCCAGCCGACAACCAAUCAUCCUUUUUCAGGUUGACCUCGGAUCAGGUAGGGAUACCCGCUGAACUUAAGCAUAUCAAUA
rnacentral:rRNA from 1 species